AGACAGCUAGGAGGUUGGCUUAGAAGCAGCCACCCUUUAAAGAAAGCGUAAUAGCUCACUAGUCGAGUCGGCCUGCGCGGAAGAUGUAACGGGGCUCAAACCACACACCGAAGCUGCGGGUGUCACGCAAGUGACGCGGUAGAGGAGCGUUCUGUAAGCCUGUGAAGGUGAGUUGAGAAGCUUGCUGGAGGUAUCAGAAGUGCGAAUGCUGACAUGAGUAACGACAAUGGGUGUGAAAAACACCCACGCCGAAAGACCAAGGGUUCCUGCGCAACGUUAAUCGACGCAGGGUUAGUCGGUUCCUAAGGCGAGGCUGAAAAGCGUAGUCGAUGGGAAACAGGUUAAUAUUCCUGUACUUCUGGUUACUGCGAUGGAGGGACGGAGAAGGCUAGGCCAGCUUGGCGUUGGUUGUCCAAGUUUAAGGUGGUAGGCUGAAAUCUUAGGUAAAUCCGGGGUUUCAAGGCCGAGAGCUGAUGACGAGUCGUCUUUUAGAUGACGAAGUGGUUGAUGCCAUGCUUCCAAGAAAAGCUUCUAAGCUUCAGGUAACCAGGAACCGUACCCCAA
rnacentral:rRNA from 1 species